rnacentral:rRNA from 1 species
GAUGAACGCUAGCGGCAGGCUUAAUACAUGCAAGUCGCGGGGCAGCAUGAGUAGCAAUACUUGAUGGCGACCGGCAAACGGGUGCGGAACACGUACACAACCUUCCGAGAAGUGGGGAAUAGCCCAGAGAAAUUUGGAUUAAUACCCCGUAACAUAUAGAGUAGGCAUCUUCUUUAUAUUAUAGCUGCGGCGCUUAUUGAUGGGUGUGCGUCUGAUGAGGUAGUUGGCGGGGUAACGGCCCACCAAGCCUACGAUCAGUAGCUGAUGUGAGGGCAUGAUCAGCCAAACGGGCACUGAGAAACGGGCCCGACUCCUACGGGAGGCAGCAGUAAGGAAUAUUGGACAAUGGGCGAAAGCCUGAUCCAGCCAUGCCGCGUGAAGGAUUAAGGUCCUCUGGAUUGUAAACUUCUUUUAUUUGGGACGAAAAAAGGGAAUUCUUUCCCACUUGACGGUACCAAGUGAAUAAGCACCGGCUAACUCCGUGCCAGCAGCCGCCGUAA